rnacentral:misc_RNA from 1 species
AAGUCGUAACAAGGUCUCCGUAGGUGAACCUGCGGAAGGAUCAUUAACACGUUAUCCACGUAUCAACCAACCCGAGAAUCAGUUUCCUCCCCUCUACUUGAAGCAGAAAAUGAAUUGGAAGCCAGCAGGAAAGAUGAGAGUGGGCCUCGGCCUUUUUCCUGUCCGCCUAUUUGACGUGCAAGCGUUGGACAAUUGUAUUUCUGUAGAGGAUUAUUCUUUCAUGCUGUACGUAUGCAUCUCUACUGGGCAUGAAAGAGACAACCCAAAUAAAAAACCUAUUUCACCCGCUUUUUGCUAGUUGACUUUUAUAUGUUGUUCUUUGCUUGACUGCAUGGAUCACACGUUUAAUUAUUUGAACGUUAAAAAUACAACUCUUAGCAAUGGAUAUCUUGGUUCUC